rnacentral:rRNA from 4 species
GGGUUGUGAGGUUAAGCGACUAAGCGUACACGGUGGAUGCCCUGGCAGUCAGAGGCGAUGAAGGGCGUGCUAAUCUGCGAUAAGCGCCGGUAAGGUGAUAUGAACCGUUAUAACCGGCGAUACCCGAAUGGGGAAACCCAGUGUGAUUCGUCACACUAUCAUUAACUGAAUCCAUAGGUUAAUGAGGCGAACCGGGGGAACUGAAACAUCUAAGUACCCCGAGGAAAAGAAAUCAACCGAGAUUCCCCCAGUAGCGGCGAGCGAACGGGGAGGAGCCCAGAGCCUGAAUCAGCAUGUGUGUUAGUGGAAGCGUCUGGAAAGGCGCGCGAUACAGGGUGACAGCC